rnacentral:rRNA from 1 species
CGUAGGUGGCAAGCGUUGUCCGGAUUUACUGGGCGUAAAGAGCGCGCAGGCGGUUGAUUAAGUCGAAUGUGAAAGCCCCGGCUCAACUGGGGAGGGUCAUUCGAUACUGAUCGACUUGAAGGCAGGAGAGGGAAGUGGAAUUCCGGGUGUAGUGGUGAAAUGCGUAGAUAUCCGGAGGAACACCAGUGGCGAAGGCGACUUCCUGGCCUGUUCUUGACGCUGAGGCGCGAAAGCUGGGGGAGCAAAACGGGAUU